rnacentral:rRNA from 1 species
AGCAGUAGCCACGGGAAUACGCAGGUCCCGAGCGUUGUCCGGAUUUAUUGGGCGUAAAGCGAGCGCAGGCGGUUAGAUAAGUCUGAAGUUAAAGGCUGUGGCUUAACCAUAGUACGCUUUGGAAACUGUUUAACUUGAGUGCAAGAGGGGAGAGUGGAAUUCCAUGUGUAGCAGUGAAAUGCGUAGAUAUAUGGAGGAACACCGGUGGCGAAAGCGGCUCUCUGGCUUGUAACUGACGCUGAGGCUCGAAAGCGUGGGGAGCAAACAGGAUUAGAGACCCCAGUAGUCCCUGUCUCUUAUACA